rnacentral:rRNA from 1 species
UAUCUUAGUGGCGGACGGGUGAGUAACGCGUGGGUAACCUGCCCCAUACCGGGGGAUACCACCUGGAAACAGGUGCUAAUACCGCAUAAGCGCACGGGAGCGCAUGCUCCUGUGUGAAAAACUCCGGUGGUAUGGGAUGGACCCGCGUCUGAUUAGCCAGUUGGCAGGGUAACGGCCUACCAAAGCGACGACCAGUAGCCGGCCUGAGAGGGUGGACGGCCACAUUGGGACUGAGACACGGCCCAAACUCCUACGGGAGGCAGCAG